UACGAAGGGUGCAAGCGUUACUCGGAAUUACUGGGCGUAAAGCGUGCGCAGGCGGUUUUGUAAGUUCUGUCGUGAAAUCCCCGGGCUCAACCUGGGAAUGGCGAUGGAGACUGCAAGGCUAGAGUUUGGCAGAGGGGGGAGAAUUCCACGUGUAGCAGUGGAAUGCGUAGAUAUGUGGAGGAACACCGAUGGCGAAGGCAGCCCCCUGGUCAA
rnacentral:rRNA from 1 species